GGGGAUGGAUUGGGCCUGGUGGCUUGCCCGGACUUCAAAUCCGACGGGACGUAAUGACCUUGCGUUCGGUGGGUUCGAUUCCCACACAUUCCCGCCA
rnacentral:tRNA from 1 species